AAGAAGAACCGGUAUCUUUAUAAAUAUAAGUUAUUUUCAUGAGAGAGAGAGAGAGAGAGAGAGAGAGAGAGAGAGAGAGAGAGAGAGAGAGAGAGAGAGAGAGAGAGAGAGAGAGAGAGAGAGAAUUAGAGAAAGAGUUAAUAUGAGCACAUGGGAGUGUCUCGAAGCUUAAAGUGUGAAAACUAAAGAUUACCUAAAAUGGUAAAAACCCUUUGGAGAUGUUUCCUGUAUUAUCACACAUCUGGUAAUCUCUCUCUCUCUCUCUCUCUCUCUCUCUCUCUCUCUCUCUCUCUCUCUCUCUCUCUCUCUCUCUCUCUCUCUCAGUAAGAUUGCCUUGCUUUUACAAAUAAAUUUAUUACCUCCCAGAGACGACACACAUCGUAACAAAUCCAUAAUGCCAAAGAUUGAUAGUUACACAGUUUCUGCCUCGUUUGUGUGUGUGUGUGUGUGUGUGUGUGUGUGUGUGUGUUAAUUUAUUGAUCUAUUUAUGCACAAAUUUUCACAGAAGAAUUUGUGAUGUGUGGCGAGGCGGAUCCUCCAUGGGAGAUGGGGUGCCUAAAGCAGAGAGCUGUUGGCCAUCAAGUGCAGUGAUGAAAGGAAGCCUGAGCAUGUGAGUGUAGCCAUCCUGUUGAGUGUCACGUCAGCAUGGAAUGGGACCGAGGGUAAUACAGAUCGAAGCUUGUGAAGACACGAGUGAACGAACACCCACAUGGGUGUCAUCUCGCUACGGGCACACCAUCGGAUACAUUUCUUACAUUAUCAUCGUAAAUAAAGAUCAAAGAGGCGCCAAGAGGUUGAAGGUUCUCAAGACGCCUCGCCUGGAGGCGCGCCACGUGGAGACGAAGAUCCCUUUAGUGUGCUGGAGGGAGUGACAGAGGAAGAGCUUGUCGGCCAGACACCAAGAGACCCUCGGGAAGUCUGGGAAGGGCCUGCUGCCUCACCCACGCCUACGCCACAUGCUGCCGCACGACGAGCCUCGCCAGGUCCAUACCAUAGGACACCACAAACAGAUGACACCCCUGAAGGCUCUGCGCACAGAGCGAUACCGCCUCAGCGCGAUUCCCACCGUGGUGCGACCAACUAACAGUUAGUUCCUCUCUAUACAUUAACCUUACGUUUAGGUUUAAGCCUCCCCCAAUCCCCACUGUAUAUUUUCAGAGUAACAACUUCAAUAUAAAUUAACCGUUUAUUAUUAUACCUUUUUUUUAUCACCCACCGCACACUACCUACAGGCCCACCCGCCCAUCCAUCCACCAGUCUCCUACCAACUAACCCACCCGGAUCCCACCAACACUCACCCACCCGUCAACACAGUUCUACCCAAUUUAAAGAUUGGAUGUGGCUGAUGAUCAAGUAAAGAUGUCACAGAGUGGUCAUUAAUUAGGGAAAGGUGUACCAAGUGGCAGUCAAGGGCCUAAACACCAGUUAUACAGCUUUGUGACCCGUCUCUCAUCGGCCCCCCACACACAUACACACACACACAUACUUCCACAGAGGGCAGUGAAGUGAGUGGGAGUGCAUUGUUAUCACCACCACACCACACUAUCAUAAUACCACACCAUCUUAUCCUUGGCUCCCCGUGUCGCCCUGCCAAGCCCUGCCCCGCCCCGCCGCAGCUAAGGUAAGAAAUUCCCGUCUCUCUACGUCAACAUUAAGCACAAUUUCCAGGUUUUACAGAUGUUUCCAGGUGAUAUUUAGACUCUCUCUUGUCUCCCUUUUUCCUGCCACUAUCUCCAACAUCACCGUGACCACUGCCUUUCGCUUUACUGACAGCGUCAUAUACUAGUAAAGAAAGAAAGUGGCAGACAAGGCACGAUUGUUUACGUGGAGGAACCAGGAGAGUUGUCAGGAACAGCCCAUCACACGGCUACUCAGGAGGAUCCUGUAUCUUGUACGUCACUAGACUAUAAGAUUAUAAGGUUAUGGGAUGUUCCGAGAAGUAGUAAUAUAACGACUUGUGGGUGAGACGCUUCAAGCUUCCUUGACGAUACGGCUCCGCGGCUUCACGAGACGAGGCAGGAGCUAACGAGGGCAUCGGUUCUCCCAGACACUCGUGUCUGCCUUGUACUCCUAUGGAGGUAAAGACGGAACAUCCUCAGUUCUUUCAAUGGCACAGAAUACAGAUGCUUGGGUCCUCGGCGAAGCAACCCACGGAGACGGAAAAUCAGCCUUCACACCUCCAAGUUUACUGAACUCAGCUUGCUGUAGAAUAUU